AACGAACGCUGGCGGCAGGCCUAACACAUGCAAGUCGAACGAACCCUUCGGGGUGAGUGGCGCACGGGUGCGUAACACGUGGGAAUAUACACAUAGGUAAGGAAUAACUCAGGGAAACUUGCGCUAAUACCUUAUAAUAACUCCGGUUCAAAGAUUUAUCGCCUAUGGAUUAGCCCGCGCUAGAUUAGUUUGUUGGUGAGGUAAGAGCUCACCAAGACUACGAUCUAUAGCUGGUCUUAGAGGAUGAUCAGCCACACUGGAACUGAGACACGGUCCAGACUCCUACGGGAGGCAGCAGUGAGGAAUAUUGCGCAAUGGAGGAAACUCUGACGCAGCCAUGCCGCGUGAAUGAAGAAGGCCUUAGGGUUGUAAAAUUCUUUCAGAUGCGAAGAUAAUGACGGUACCAUCAGAAGAAGCUCCGGCUAAAUUCGUGCCAGCAGCCGCGGU
rnacentral:rRNA from 1 species